CAGCUGUUGGGAUGGCUAUAGCUAAUCUAGUACAGGGGUGGAACUGCAACUCCCAUGACACUUUGCUUAGCUUCGUAGGAGUUGUAAUUCUAGAAGGGGUCAGCCAGACAGCUUAAAGCACACACAAUAUAUAUUACUAUACUGACACACACACACUCCUUCUCACACACACAUACACUGUUACACACACAGUCUCUUACACUAUUUCACACACAGACUGUCUCUCUCUCACAAUCUCAUACACACACACACACACACUGUUACACACACUGUCUCUUACACUAUUUCACGUACAGACAGACUCUCUCUCACAAUCUCUCACACACACACUGUCUCUUACACUAUUUCACACACACAGACUGUCUCUCUCUCACAAUUUCACACACACACACACACACAUACACACACAAACACAGUCACACACUGUCACUUACACUAUUUCACACAAAGACUCUCUCUCACAAUCUCUCUCUCACACACACACACACACACACACUGUCACAAACUGUUACACACACUGUCUCUUACACUAUUUCACACACACAGACUGUCUUUCUCUCACAAUCUCACACACACUGUCACAAACUGUUACACACACUGUCUCUUACACUAUUUCACACACAGACUGUCUCUCUCUCUCACAAUCUCACACACACACAUUCCCACACACACUGUCACAGACAAUCACACACUGUUACACACAUUGUCUCUUACACCAUUAUACACACAGACUGUCUCUCUCUCUCACACACACAUACACACUGUCACACACUGUUACACACAUUGUCUCUUACACUAUUUUACACACAGACUGUCUCUCUCUCUCACACACACACAUGCAUUCUCACACACUGUCUCACUCACACACAGACUGUCUCUCUCGCACACUGGUACACAAGGACUCUCACACAUUGUCACUCACACAGGCUGUCUCACACUCAGGCUGUCUCUCUCACUCAGGCUGGCUGUUUCACACUCAGGCUGUCUCUCACACACACUGUCACUCAGGCUGUCUCUCACAUUCAGGCUGUCUCUCACUCAGGUUGUCUCUCACACACACACACACUGUCUCUCAGGCUGUCUCUCACACACUCAGGCUGUCUCUCACACAGGCUGUCUCUCACACACACUGUCUCUCAGGCUGUCUCUCACACACUCAGGCUGUCUCACACACUCAGGCUGUCUCUCACACUCAGGCUGGCUGUCUCUCUCAGGCUGUCUCUCUCACACUCAGGCUGUUUCUUACACACUCAGGCUGUCUCUCACACACUCAGGCUGUCUCUCACUCAGGCAGUGUCACACACACUGUCUCUCUCAGGCUGGCUGUCUCUCACACAGGCUGUCUCUCACACACAGGCUGUCUCUCACUCAGGCUGUCUCUCAC